CCUACGGGAGGCAGCAGUAGGGAAUCUUCCGCAAUGGACGAAAGUCUGACGGAGCAACGCCGCGUGAGCGAAGAAGGUCUUCGGAUCGUAAAGCUCUGUUGUCAGGGAAGAACAAGUACGAGAGUAACUGCUCGUACCUUGACGGUACCUGACCAGAAAGCCACGGCUAACUACGUGCCAGCAGCCGCGGUAAU
rnacentral:rRNA from 2 species